UUGUAAAAGUUUGUAGUUUAUAAAAGUUCACAAGUUUAAUAUACAGUUUAAAGUUGCAAUAGCAGUACAACAUAUUUUAUAGUUUCAGAAAAAGCUUAAAAGGAAUCAAUCACAGAUGUAGAAUGCCAAAAUGACAGUUAGGUUUAAAAUGUUCACUUUUUGCAUUUAGAACAAACAAAACAAAAAACACAGAAAAAUGUUUAAGGAGCCCAAAAAAAUGAAGCACUUUGAAUCGAGUUAAAUCUUGGCGAGAAAGUAUUUUUCUCUCUUUAAUAGGUAGCCCAAAAAAGACUGGAGAUAUUUGUAUAACGGCAUUAAAUAAAACAUUAUCUAACCCAGUAUUAUACUGCACUAUCCCCCAUUUUAAUUAUGACCACACAUAAUCACUUAGGCUAAACGGUUUCUCAUCUCUCCUUUACCAUCCCUAAGUACAAAGUCUGAGUUUUACACAAAAUUUCAGCACACCAAAACUGAAAAUGACAUUCGAGCUGACACCAUUCAUAGCAACUAAACUUACCAAGAGACAUGUAAUUGAUCUGGAUGUUACCUGUACAAACACAGUCCAAUCUAAAAAUAUAAGCUGACGUUCUGCAGGAA